CUAGAGGAGGAGCGUCUAGGCCUGCGCUCACAGUGGAGUUAAAAAAGCUUUGGCUCUUCUCGCAACGGAGCACCGUGGGCCCCCUCACACUGGACACAGAGGUGGUCUAGGCCCAGGGGACCCAACUGAGGCUCAAGACCUCUUAGAGCACAGAACUUCUGGAGUGUUUGUAUCCCUUCCAUCUGGACAGAGGACAUCUGGCAAGAAAACCUCUCAAAAGCUACUUAUUGUGAGUUGUUGUGAAAAAAAGAUGCUAUGUGUCCUUUGUAAAAGUAAGUUUGUUCCAGUGUUUUUCUGAGCAGCAUUCACCAUAUGAUACUAAAACACCUCUCAGCUCCAUGUCCUCGCUUUUCUUUUAAGUGUAUUUGGAGGGUGAAAGCCGCCAUUUGCAUUUGCUGCAGACUGGAGUACCCUCCAGGCUCUCAACAUGGCCUGUAACACAAUUACGCUCUGGCUGCAGCCGCUCUGAUGGGAGACAACUACAGCUAAACAUCUCCACAUGCACUCAAGGGCAAAGGCAAACUUCAGAUGAGGCUUACGCUGGUAUUAUGAGUCAUGUUGUGUUGCAACAGCUUGAACGAAGUAUGGCAAAUAUUACAGCAGACCUGUCUGAAACGUGAGCUCCAUUACUUAGCCAUUGCAGCAUCCUUGCCAGUUCUCUGCUUUGGUUCAAUACUGAUUGAUAGUUUUUGCAUGAAUGAUUCACACAUCCAUGGUUUGUAAUAUUAUUGAUUAAGUGAGAGGGCUCUCAUCAACACAGCAUGCAGAACCAGUGUUUGGACACACUUAUUGCAAGCUGCUUGUGAAGAAAAGUAAAUGACUGUUAAUAAAUUAAAGCUGAGGAGUGUUUUA